GGGUGUGUAGCUUAGCAGUGGAGCACAUGUUUAGCAAGCACGAAAGCCCUAGGUUCAAUCCUUAGCACCCA
rnacentral:tRNA from 1 species